AAUAUGCGAUUGCAAUUUAGAACCUUGGAUCAUUGAUUAAUCCAUUCUCAUUCUUCUAUUGCAAAAUUUAGAACCCAACAAUCAUCAUUCUAAUCAGUGAUGUAUAAAACCUUGAAUCAUUGAUCAAUUCACCACCCUUCUUCUUCUACAAAAUUUAGAAUCUGACACACAUCAUGCUCCUCAGUGCUGAAAUAAGGCCUCUUCCCAACCAAUUCAGCAACUCUCUUCGCAACACCAAAGUUUAGUUAAAUGGAUCCUUACCAAAAAUAAC
rnacentral:lncRNA from 1 species